AAAUAGGCAAUGAUGGAGCGAGUAGCGUUUUGUAGGAUUGUGCAGAGAGCCGGUGGUUGCUGUGAACCGGACAGUCCGAUCACGUGAAGUACACUCCGGAGCCGCUUGGAGGCAAUGCCAAGCCGGUCGCGCGAGUGAUCGUUACGUCAAUGAAGGAGUUUCUAUUUUUGAAACUGCUUAGGGUGGUACCGCGAGUUCAAACCUCGUCCCUAUU
rnacentral:ncRNA from 1 species